GAUCCUGGCUCAGGACGAACGUUGGCGGCGCGCCUAACACAUGCAAGUCGAACGAGAGAUGAGGAGCUUGCUCUUCAAAUCGAGUGGCGAGCGGGUGAGUAACGCGUGAGGAACCUGCCUCAAAGAGGGGGACAACAGUUGGAAACGACUGCUAAUACCGCAUAAGCCCACGGCUCGGCAUCGAGCAGAGGGAAAAGGAGCAAUCCGCUUUGAGAUGGCCUCGCGUCCGAUUAG
rnacentral:rRNA from 1 species